GGGUGAGUAAGAGAUGAUUUGACCAUUUCUUUUGGCAUAAGAGGAACAUUAGAUAAAUCAUAAAGUGCUACAUGACAAGGAUUAGGCUUAACAAUACCUCGCAUGGAUCUUGUGAUCAUUGGUGUUGUCGAGUCGAGGUAGAAGAAGAAGUUAAAGGCUUGGAUGGUAAGCUUUGGUUGGAUGGUAAGCUUUGGUUGACAUGAUAAUAGUACCUCCAAAGUGGUCCACAUAGUACCUUCUCAUGAUUCAUCGAUCUGUACAUUAUAAGAUGAUCCUUCAGAUUGAUGUGUAACUGUGGGAUUUUCAUGUGCAUGC
rnacentral:lncRNA from 1 species